UACAGAGGUCUCAAGCGUUGUUCGGAUUCAUUGGGCGUAAAGGGUGCGUAGGCGGCGCGGUGAGUCGGAUGUGAAAUCUCGGAGCUUAACUCCGAAACUGCAUUCGAUACUGCCGUGCUUGAGGACUGGAGAGGAGACUGGAAUUUACGGUGUAGCGGUGAAAUGCGUAGAUAUCUGGAGGAACACCGGUGGCGAAGGCGCGAUUCUGGUCCGUUACUGACGCUGAGGCGCGAAAGCCAGGGGAGCAAACGGG
rnacentral:rRNA from 1 species